ensembl:ncRNA R13H4.13 ncRNA
ACUCUCAUCUUCCACUUUCCUUAUCACUGGGUCAGUCGGUUUAUUUUCCGGAAUUUUGAGUCAAUUCCUACGAUUUUUGCAGAAUUGCACGAAUCAUUUUCAUUCAAAAAAGAAUAAAAGAUCUUUAUUGAAUAAAGCUAGACA